GGGCGUGUAGCUCAGUUGGUUAGAGCGCGUCACUGAUAAUGACGAGGUCCAUGGUUCGAAUCCAUGCACGCCCACCA
rnacentral:tRNA from 1 species